AAUAUUGCGCAAGGGGGGAAACCCUGACGCAGCGACGCCGCGUGAGCGAAGAAGGCCUUAGGGUCGUAAAGCUAUGUUAUAAGGGACGUACAUUAUCAAUGUAAACAAUAUAGAUAAAAGAAGGUACCUUAUGAGUAAGCCACGUACAACUAUGUGCAAGCAGCCGCGGUAAGACUCAGGGGGCUAGCGUCGUCCGGAAUUACUGGGCGUAAAGAGCACGUAUGCGGGGAAUUAAGUCAGAUGGGAAAGACCGCAGCUUAACUGCGGAGUUGCACUUGAAACUGAAUGUCGUGAGGGCAGAAGAGGAAAGCAGAAUUCCUGGUUUGGCGGUGAAAUGCGUAGAAAUCAGGAGGAAUACCGGUGGCGAAGGCGGCUUUCUGAACUGACCCUGACGCUGAGGUGCGAAAGCGUGGGUAGCAAACA
rnacentral:rRNA from 1 species